GAAGCUGACCAGACAGUCGCCGCUUCGUCGUCGUCCACCUUCGGGUGGAGACGGGCGGAGGGGAGGAAAGUCCGGGCUCCAUAGGGCAGGGUGCCAGGUAACGCCUGGGGGGGAAACCCACGACCAGUGCAACAGAGAGCAAACCGCCGAUGGCCCACGCAAGUGGGAUCAGGUAAGGGUGAAAGGGUGCGGUAAGAGCGCACCGCGCGGCUGGUAACAGUCCGUGGCACGGUAAACGUACGGCCCGUACUGAACCCGGGUAGGCUGCUUGAGCCAGUGAGCGAUUGCUGGCCUAGAUGAAUGACUGUCCACGACAGAACCCGGCUUAUCGGUCAGCUUCAACU
rnacentral:RNase_P_RNA from 1 species